rnacentral:rRNA from 1 species
CCAGACUCCUACGGGAGGCAGCAGUGGGGAAUCUUCCGCAAUGGGCGCAAGCCUGACGGAGCAACGCCGCGUGAAUGAAGAAGGUCUUCGGAUCGUAAAGUUCUGUUCUUAGGGAAGAAGUCUUAGGUUGUGAAUAAUGACUUAAGGUGACGGUACCUAUGGAGAAAGCUCCGGCUAACUACGUGCCAGCAGCCGCGGUAAUACGUAGGGAGCAAGCGUUAUCCGGAUUUACUGGGUGUAAAGGGCGCGUAGGCGGGAUGGCAAGUCAGAUGUGAAAUCCAAGGGCUCAACCCUUGAACUGCAUUUGAAACUGUCGUUCUUGAGUACUGGAGAGGUUGACGGAAUUCCUAGUGUAGCGGUGAAAUGCGUAGAUAUUAGGAGGAACACCAGUGGCGAAGGCGGUCAACUGGACAGCAACUGACGCUGAGGCGCGAAAGCGUGGGGAGCAAACAGGAUUAGAUACCCGAGUAGA